rnacentral:lncRNA from 1 species
UGUCCAAUCUAUUGGUCUCCUCAGUUCCUCGCUGAUCGGGGAUGGAGAUUAACAGGCGCCUUUUUGGUUUGGGGGCAACUUGGAAGCAAAUCUGCCUGAUCCUUUGUUUUAGUUUUGAAGUCCCUGUUAUUCAAAUCGGUUGACUGUUGAUGCGGUGCCUGCUGACCGGGAAACUUCUGCAGUUCUGGGCGUCACAAAAACUUGUUUCAAUCUCCUCUUUAUACCAGGUUCUUACUCACCCCCUCACCCCAAAUACUUCCUCUACUCUGUUACUCUUUUGUUUAUUAUAUAUCCAUUUUUAGUGCAUAUCUUGAAUAUGUUAAGAGAUGAGUAAAAAAUUGAAAUAUGAGUCACACAUGUGUGUUGUCGUACUUUUCCCAAACUUAAUUUAUCAGCAGGCUAUUACCUUGAUUGACACCAUUUUGUUACAACAAUGUUAAGGUUCGUUGGGUCUCAAAACAAUUAAACGACCAUUAUUCCAUUAGUUAAUCUCAUUUCUGAUUAAAAAAAUAUCGAGCCCUUCUAUUUAUAAGAUUAGAUAAAAAAUAAAUAUAUACCCCAGAUUAUUUUUCACAUGGUUGUCCUGUUUGGCGAGAUCGUGGACGUCAAGUGGACAGCGAUACCGAUCAUCACCACCUGUUUUAAUCCCUCGGCUAACCCUAGUGGGUGCUGCUGAGAACUGUUGCAUGUGUAUACAACCUUAUAGAGGUUAGUUAGGUUUAUUUAUGAAGGCCCUGAAAUCUUCAGUCCUAUGAUAUAUACGAUAUGUAUCGAUUUAUCUACAACGCAUUUGAUCAUUCUAUUGAAAACUAACAUGUUUGUUAGUUCGUGUAGCAGUUCACAAUCUUGGAUUUUGGAACAGAAGGACUUCAAUAAGUUUAUGAUCCCUGUCUAUCUUCUAGCACCCGAGUAGUACAUUUUUUUCUCUCCUCUUCAUAGGCAGGAUAUAUGUUAUCUUCAUAAUCUUUCUCAAGCAGAAUCUUAAAAUAUGGCAUACAAGAGCAUUGCACUAUAGUCCUCUAUCCUUUACAUUGAUGUACGGACCUAAAUGUGAUGCCAAAUUCAUGAUUUCUCUUAGUUCCCUAAUCUCUGGUCAAUGUUACUUUAUUGAGUCUCAAGGUCAUUUUGACUAUUUAUGUACAUCUGCUUCAUCUUGAACCAGCUCAUGAUCCAUACAUUUAUAGAUUUUCUUGCGAGAAUCCUUGAUCUGUACUUCUAUUAUUAUGUUUCCUGUACUUUGUGCAGAACCUUUUCUCUGUAUAGAUUAUUUUUCUAAUGUCUACCAAUGAAUUAUUUGACAAAUCGAAGCAGUGUAGCCAUAUCUUGCUUGAACAUAUAUUAUUGUCAUCCAAGAUUUUGUAAGUUCAAUGCAAUCCAAG